rnacentral:lncRNA from 1 species
GGGGGGGGGGGGAGGGGCCAGAGAGGAGCCAAGGAGGAUGCCAAAGCGGGUUCCGUUGGUUUUGUCCGUGCUUCCUCUACUGUUCAACAUCCCGUUCGUCUUGUCCCACUCUGCACAGACUCCAGUGGUACCUAAGGACAUGGAAGAAAAGGCUGGAAGUGCUUCAAACUCCACUGGGAACACGAACAACAGAGAAGAAGAAACUAUUACCAACUGUCGUCUCAUCUCGAGGAAAAAUAAUUUGAACAACAAUGACGAGGAUCCAAGCAACCAAAGAGGCAAUAUCACCAUCCAAAUGAUCAGAGCCAAUUGUUGGGCUUUGGCGUCACGGUCCUCGGUUAGAUUCUUGACUCGCUUGGAGAAAAUGCAGAUGAAUGUCAUAAUCACAAACACCCUCACAUUGAAAACUUGGACAGGUAAUAAAGCCCGUUUUGAUAUCACAAACCUCAAGCAAACGAAGGAUUCUGUAAUUCAGGAACCCUACGGACUCAAGGUUGGAGGAAAAAGCAAUGUCUGUGGGGAGAAAUCAUGCUCGGUCAAAAAUGAAAACGUACGACUUCCCAAUCGGACCCACUCAUUGUGCCAGAAACAGAUCAACGCAAAGAACGGUGAAAGGCACAGAGUGUUCAAAGUUUGUGGCAAACCUGCUUUCAAUGCGACAUUCUCGAGGUAUUCCUUCUUACGGGUGUAACUCAUCGGUGGACCCACCAACGCAGCAUACUUUAUUUAUUUGAACAUUUGUUUACGUAUUUACAUAUUAACUUACUUGCUUUAGACAUUAGCAUUACAUUUGUUUACUCAUUUACAACUGACCGAAUGAUGUAUUGUUAUGAAAACUGGUUUUAAGUUAGCUCAACAUCAUAUUGUGAGGUGUUGUUGUUGUGCUUCAUGUAUUUGCCUGAUGGUAUUGUGAUGUGAACUUGGUAAAUGGUUUAAUAAGAUCUGAGUCCCACCUGAUUGUUCCUGUAUUCAUUCACAAUUCACUUGAACGCCUCGUUGCUGUGAAUUGGCUUAGCAAGGCCUUGGCUCGGCCUGGAACAUUAAGACUGAACUGUUCACGCAAAUGACAUGCUUGAAGUGUUGGCAUAAAUAUAAUAUUAAAACUGGGAAACCUCUGGGUUUUGCACACCAAGUCUGACUUGUUCUAUUGGCUCACACACGUCAUCUGCACACAGUCCCCCCCCCCCCCCCCCCCCCCCCCCCCCCCCCCCCCCCCCCCCCCCCCCCCCCCCCCCCCCCCCCCCCCCCCCCCC